GGGUGAACCUUUUUCGAUGAUGACGCAUGCGCAUUUCAAAUAUUUAUUGUUUUGAUAGAUUUUCAACAAAAUUUAAAAGAAAUUUUUAAUUUUUGGUAUCAGGAGAACAUGAAGAGGUUGGGGUAAACCUAUUUUCGGUGAUGGCGCAUGCGCAUUUCGAAUAUUCAUCUUCAAAAUGCAAUUCCCGCCAAAUUUGAAAUUUGAAAUAUAAUAUAAAUUCAAAAGCACGUGUUUAAAUAAAGAAAUUUUAAUUUUAAGUAUCAGGAGAACAUGAAGAGGUUGGGGUAAACCUUUUUCGAUGAUGACGCAUGCGCAUUUCAAAUAUUUAUUGUUUUGAUAGAUUUUCAACAAAAUUUAAAAGAAAUUUUUAAUUUUUGGUAUCAGGAGAACAUGAAGAGGUUGGGGUAAACCUAUUUUCGGUGAUGGCGCAUGCGCAUUUCGAAUAUUCAUCUUCAAAAUGCAAUUCCCGCCAAAUUUGAAAUUUGAAAUAUAAUAUAAAUUCAAAAGCACGUGUUUAAAUAAAGAAAUUUUAAUUUUAAGUAUCAGGAGAACAUGAAGAGGUUGGGGUAAACCUUUUUCGAUGAUGACGCAUGCGCAUUUCAAAUAUUUAUUGUUUUGAUAGAUUUUCAACAAAAUUUAAAAGAAAUUUUUAAUUUUUGGUAUCAGGAGAACAUGAAGAGGUUGGGGUAAACCUAUUUUCGGUGAUGGCGCAUGCGCAUUUCGAAUAUUCAUCUUCAAAAUGCAAUUCCCGCCAAAUUUGAAAUUUGAAAUAUAAUAUAAAUUCAAAAGCACGUGUUUAAAUAAAGAAAUUUUAAUUUUAAGUAUCAGGAGAACAUGAAGAGGUUGGGGUAAUCCUAUUUACGUUGAUGGCGCAUGCGCAUUUUAAAUAUUUAUUGUUUUGAUAGAUUUUCAACAAAAUUUAAAAGAAAUUUUUAAUUUUAAG